CCUCCUCCACCGCCACCUCCUCGGCCGCCUCCUCGUCGGCGGCGGCGCCGGGCGGGGGCCGCCUGGCCGGGCAGCUCUGCAGGAUGGAGUCCACCUGGGGCAGCAGGCGGUGCAGGCGGCCGGCGGCCUCGCGGUUCUCGGAGCCCAGCAGGGCCAGAUAAAAUCAACCAUGACGAUCGCAGCAGAUAUACCAAGCUGAAAUCAUGGAUUUGCUGAAACAUGACUGGAGGCUUCUGCUUUGAACAGCUGUUUGGUCUGAAUAAAAUUUGCAGGAUCAGAAUUAAAAUUGUAUGGGUGUUAGAAGUAACAUUUCUCAUAUUUUAAUAAGAUGUGAUUUGAAUAAAAUGUGACAUAGUUCCAAACAGAUAACACCACAGAGAGGGGAAAAUGAAUUUAAUUUUGGUGGGAGGGAAGAAAGGAGAUGAGAGAAAGUCCACUGAGCCAUUCCUAAGUCCACAAAAGUAAGAAAAAUUGCACACGCACAAGGGUAAUGGUUGAAAGUACACUCCCCCAGUCCAGAAAAUACUUGAGCAUGUGCCUACAUCCAUUCCAGUGUGAUAGUUCCCAAGCUGAUGCUAAGUGUCACAACUAAGCUUAAGAACCUGAUUAACUCAGCCCCUUUGUAUCUCCGCUUUUCUAAUGGUUUAAACUAUGAUAACUGAGGAAAACAGAUUAGAAAUACAGGGAAAAAAAAAAAAAAAAA